GCAAUAGAUUCCAUACCUGUCCCAGUUUUGUUUAUACCAACCCUAUGUUCUCUAACACUGAUAUAACUCAGCUAAACAUGGCACACUUCAAAUUCCACAGAUGUGUGUUGAAAGAAAUUGAGCCAUAUAACGUAUAUAGCAUGAAAUAAAUCUGCUGUUCGCCAAGGUUUCUAUUUAAGAACAAGUUAUUAUGGUAACCCAGUGCCAUAGGACUGUGUUGAUUACAAGGGGGUGUGAGACAUUCUUAGUCUGCCAAGACGCACAGUUAUACUGAUAUCUGAAGGUCAAAAAUGUGUGAAGUGCUGCAGCGUGAUGAAAAGCAAAUAUUAAUCAAACACUACUCUUGUUUUACCAGGGAACAUUACAUAUUUGUGCAUAGCUGACAUUUGUUGCUGAUGAAGGAAUCUACGUGAAGAUAUAAUAACAUACUGAUUGGAAAAAAUAAUUAUUCUGUCCAGAUAUGGCUGAAAGUGAACAUCUAAUGGCAAGAAAUAUCUCUCUCUUCCCAGAGAAACUCUGGAGAGCGCUGCUCACAGUGUGAAGACUAAUUGGCAAGCAUCGCACAGGCAGCUGUACAAAUUACACUUUUUACUUCUUCCAUGUGUACUCAUAUCCACAUAUGGCACAGGGACCUCCCGAUUCCCUCUUUCCAUUAGCCAGAUUUGGUUUGCAAAUAUAAUGUGUUGGCUCUAGUGUUCCAUUGCUUCCUUUUGGUGACAUCUGCCUAAUCAAGACCCAAGUGUAUGCGACUGAUGAUGUGCCCAAGUAGCAGGGAUAAGAUUUGGGAGAUUUUCAAAACAGAGGAAAUAAAUAUAAAUACAACAAUAUAGUUGAAAGUUUAUGCUAAGUCUACAAUACCCCAUGCCCAAGAUUUUUGGUUUAAGUUCUGUUUGCAGUACAUAAUUUGGUUAGGCAGCCCUACAGUACUUCAUAAAAGCCUGCAAGAGAAUUCUAGCACUUGCCACAAAAGCACAGUAGCUUUCCCCACAUUUUAGCCUUUGGUCUUCCUUCACUUGAAAUCCUUUGACUGAAUUAAUCAGUAAUCCUAAUAAAUAUAUUUUUUAUCUCAAUCAAUGUACAGCAACACACACACAAGAUAACACACAGUGGCUUAUUUCAUACUUACACAUUUAGGGGCCUAUUUAUUAUGCUGUGUAAAAAAAAUUUGCUCAAAAAACAGUGUAAAAAGUUGCAUAAAAUAAAUGGUGAAUUUUGCCAUUCGAACGCCAAGUUUGACACUGUUAUUUUCUAUAAGUUCCGGUGGAAAAAAAAAUGCACUUAAUAUGUAACUGUAGCUAACAGUAAGAUGAUCAGAAUUUAAAACCAUUCCAAUAAUAAUAGUAAUUAUAACAACUCAUUGUAGUUUGAAAUGAAAAUCCAGACUUAAUUUCUUCCUGCCAUCCUCAUUUUUAUCGUGUCCAUCGUAUAUCAAUAUUUCAUGCUUUUUCAGCUCAUAUUGCUUAUUCCCCUUAGCUCUUCUAUAUUACCUAUUGCCCCCUGUGUCCUUCUCUCAUGUUGUUUAUGGCCCCUGCUGACCCUCCCUGCUGUUUUUGUCUGCUGUCUGUCUUUUGCUACUAUGUGCCAUAGUUUCCCCAGCUCAUUUCCAGUUCUCCCCUGAUAAUAGAUUUUCAUUUUACCUAUUAAGUGGACCAACUGGUGAUCUUUGUGUGCCCUUAACAGAAUUUCCUUAGAAACUCUAAGCCUUUCAUUGUUUAUGCCUCCCCUGUUGUUAUAGUUGAUUGAUUUUCUUACUCUGUCAGAAAAGAACAUUCAGCAGUGUUCCAUCCAACACAUUUAAAUAUAACUAUAUUGUACAGUAAUAAUGUGUAAAACCUUACAGGGAUAGUAAAUUUUUAUAAACAUUUAUAGAUGAUUCGAGUCUGCUCAGCAUCUACAACCAAACAUGAUCUUUUUGUUUAGGAAUCUAUUUCAUCCUA